AAAGUGGAGUGAACUAAUACCACUAUAAUUAAUCUAAAUUGUAGGCUUUUGGCCUGCUGUUCCUUUCUAGAUAAUUAAAGAAGCAGGAGAGAAGGUGUAUGAGCUUAGACUGGCAUUGUAGUGAAUUCAACUCACAGGAAUCCCUUGGCAGUCGUGUGCAAGGUCCCCUUUCUUUUCUCCUCACUGCAUCCUGUAACCAAGACAAAGAUUUUCUCUCUAUCUCCAGCUUCUUCUUUUGAAGAAGGUAGUUCUACCAGGCCUCCUGUAAGAAGAAAUCACUCUUUUUCCAGAUUUGAGGUAGUUACCAGAAAAUUUGAAGUUAAUAGGUGGUUUACAUCUUAUUUCUACCAGACAAUGCUGAUCUAGAGAUUUGUACACCAUUAAAGUACUUCUGUAGUCAUUUAAUCCAUUAGGGGAUUGAUCAUUAUUCCAUUUAACCAAAAAAUAAAAACUAAAAAUGUA